GAGCCUGAGAAACGGCUACCACAUCCAAGGAUGGCAGCAGGCGCGCAAAUUACCCAAUCCCGACACGGGGAGGUAGUGACAAUAAAUAACAAUACGGGGUUCUUUAGGAUCUCGUAAUUGGAAUGAGUACAAUUUAAAUCUCUUAACGAGGAACAAUUGGAGGGCAAGUCUGGUGCCAGCAGCCGCGGUAAUUCCAGCUCCAAUAGCGUAUAUUAAAGUUGUUGCAGUUAAAAAGCUCGUAGUUGAAUUUCGGGGUUAGUAGGUUGGUCAUGCCUCUGGUAUGUACUGGUCUCACUGAUUCCUCCGUCCUUAUGAACCGUAAUGCCAUUAAUUUGGUGUUGCGGGGAAUUUGGACUGUUACUUUGAAAAAAUUAGAGUGUUUAAAGCAAGCUAACGCUUGAAUACAUUAGCAUGGAAUAAUGAAAUAGGACGUUCGAUCUUAUUUUGUUGGUUUCUAGGAUUGACGUAAUGAUUAAUAGGGAUAGUUGGGGGCAUUAGUAUUCAAUUGUCAGAGGUGAAAUUCUUGGAUUUAUUGAAGACUAACUACUGCGAAAGCAUUUGCCAAGGAUGUUUUCAUUAAUCAAGAACGAAAGUUAGGGGAUCGAAGACGAUCAGAUACCGUCGUAGUCUUAACCAUAAACUAUGCCGACUAGGGAUCGGAUGAUGUUAAUUUUUUAAUGACUCAUUCGGCGCCUUACGGG
rnacentral:rRNA from 1 species